GCACAUUUACACAUACCCUGCCACACAUACUGUGAUACCCAUACACACACAGAUACACACACACACACUGAAACAUAUGCAGACACACAGAUAUACACACUGGCAUAUAUGCAGAUACAGACACACCAAUACACAUACUGACAAACAUACACAUACUGACAAACAGAUACAGAACCUAACACAGACACACAGAUACAAACACUGACACAAAUGCAGUUACUCAGACACACAGAU